AGAAGUCCAGGGCUAGGAGCCUCAGCCGGCGGACGCCAGGAAACAGGCUCCCUCUGCAGUGGAAUUACCCUUAUGUCUUUUCUGUCUAUGCUGAUCCACCUGAUCUUGAACUGGUGCUAUUCCAUGGGGAAAAUUGGAACAUGGGGCAAUUAACACUUUCUCCACUUUAUCCCAUCAACAGGAAAUUGAAAUAUAACCAACUAACUCAGGAGACAUCAUGGAAGAUGUCACACAGUGAAUGAUGAUGAAGCAGAAUUUUUAAAAUGUGUAGGAUUACGAGAAGUGGGGUCAUUUUUCUUUGUGUAUGGUAUUGCUGAUGCAGUUUAAUGCUCCAUUACUUCUAAAUUUUCAUCAUAAGCUAGAUUUUCCAGUUGUGGUUUCUAUAAAGAAAAACAAACAUUCUGAAGACAGUUUUUCCAGAUUUAUUCCAGAUAUCGAUGAUUAACUUUUGAAGGAAAUAGUCACAGCCACCCCAGCCUUAAGUAACCACCACCCUGCUCACUCAACAACAAUGAACACUGAGGCAAGACUCUCCACUAGCAAAAAGAUUAUGACUUGUUGAAGACUCAGAUAAUUAAAUAUCUGAAUGAAAUGCUCAUGAAAGGAUUAAGAAAGUCUGCAGUUGAGCCUGGAGCCAGCAAAAGACAUCAUCACUAAAAGUAUAUGCAUGACCCGCAUUUGUUGCCUUUAUGGUCCUUACCCAAGAUAUUUGAAUUCACCAGAAUGGUCUUAAUAUGGUAUUGUAAGUACCUGGAUCUGAAAACCAUUAAGUAUGAGAGUGCGCUGUAUUGGUGAUGCCAGUUUGUGGACUCCUUAUGUAAAUAAAUGAAGGACAAGUUAAAAACUGCAGUCACUCAUGUGAAAUAUAAAAGGCUGGCAGAAUACGGCUAAAUGUCGAGGUCUAGCCCAAUGUGUGAGAUUUAGAGAAAUCAUGUAUUCCAAUAAAAUCAGAUAUACUCCUGAAA
ensembl:lncRNA LINC00879 long intergenic non-protein coding RNA 879